rnacentral:rRNA from 1 species
GACGGAGGGUGCUAGCGUUGUUCGGAAUCACUGGGCGUAAAGGGCGCGCAGGCGGCCGUCCAAGUCGGGCGCGAAAGCCCGGGGCUCAACCCCGGAACGGCGCUCGGGACUGGGCGGCUCGAGACCGGGAGAGGAGGGUGGAAUACCCAGUGUAGAGGUGAAAUUCGUAGAUAUUGGGUGGAACACCGGUGGCGAAAGCGGCUCUCUGGCCCGGUUCUGACGCUGAGGCGCGAAAGCGUGGGGAGCAAACAGG